GGAUUAGAUACCCUGGUAGUCCACGCUGUAAACGAUGAUCACUAGCUGUUGGGUCGAUGUAGACUUAGUGGCGCAGCAAACGCGAUAAGUGAUCCGCCUGGGGAGUACGGCCGCAAGGUUAAAACUCAAAGGAAUUGACGGGGGCCCGCACAAGCGGUGGAGCAUGUGGUUUAAUUCGAUGCAACGCGAAGAACCUUACCUACCCUUGACAUACUCGGAACUUUCCAGAGAUGGAUUGGUGCCUUCGGGAGCCGAGAUACAGGUGCUGCAUGGCUGUCGUCAGCUCGUGCCG
rnacentral:rRNA from 1 species